GCUCGGGUGGUGAAAUUGGUAGACACGCCAGCUUGAGGUGCUGGUGGCCGUAAGGCUUUCGGGGUUCGAGUCCCCGCUCGAGCACCA
rnacentral:tRNA from 1 species